rnacentral:rRNA from 1 species
GAUGAACGCUGGCGGUAUGCCUAACACAUGCAAGUCGUGCGAGAGUUUUUAACUCUAGUGGCGGACGGGUGAGUAACACGUGAGAAUUUGCCUUUAGGAGGGGGACAACAAUUGGAAACGAAUGCUAAUACCCCAUAUGCUUUCGAGUGAAAUGGAUUUUAUCCGCCUAGAGAGAAGCUCGCGGCUGAUUAGCUUGUUGGUAAGGUAAGAGCUUACCAAGGCGACGAUCAGUAUCUGGUUUGAGAGGACGAUCAGACACACUGGAACUGAGACACGGUCCAGACUCCUACGGGAGGCAGCAGUGGGGAAUUUUCCGCAAUGGGCGAAAGCCUGACGGAGCAAUACCGCGUGAGGGAAGAAAGCCUACUGGGUUGUAAACCUCUUUUUUUCAGGGAGGAAAAAAAAA